AACAGUCAUCUCUCUGUCUUGUUCAUGCUGCAUGCAAUUAUGCAGCAUGCAGCAUGAACAAGACAGAGAGAUGACUGU